rnacentral:lncRNA from 1 species
GGACAGACCGCCAUGAUCCAACAAACCUGCAGCUGCGUUGUCACGGGCUCGACUGGAUGUGAAUUUUUGGACCUCGUGGAUAUGACAAGGAAGGUUUUCUGAAGCAGAGUGGUGCAACCAAGAUGACUGGCUACGCCUGCUUCAGGUUUGUUGUGUCCCGCGUCUCAAGGUACCGAAGUUGUUUCCUCUUCAUCUUCUUGAUCUUUCUAGGAUCUUUUAUCUGUUGACAAAAUUAAAGAAGCAUUAAAUACAUUUUGGACUCGGAUAACAGCAAAACUAAUAAUACACAUACUCAGUGACACUACAGUCAGUCUUGGGUUCAUUUCAAUGAUAAGAACAAAUGGUUAUGAAUCUACAAAUUAAAUACAUUCCACUAAAAUUUUUUUGUACUAUCCUAUCUAAUUUGACCUUUCUAAUAACUAUAAUCAAAUAUUCUUCAUUCAAUAUCCCUCACAGUUACAAAAACCCUUACCUUAAUUAAGGCUUUAGUAAAUUUAGUUUUGUUUUGGUUAAUGAUGUUACUUAGCUAAUCUGAUCAGAUUUCCCAGUAUUUGUAGGGACCUUCAACUUGAAAGGUGCUACUGAACCAACAAUGCACUAACAACUUUUUAACGACCAUCUAUCUCAUCAUGUGACGUUCAUGAAGAACAGGAUGUCCUUGAAGAAAAUGAAAAGCUGCUUUGAUCCUCAGCAAUGGAAUGGUGAACUGAUGAAGACGGAUGAGACACGUGCAGGAUGGCAUGGAGCAAGCAAAUUCUUACAUCUGGCCAUCAAGUUUUGUCGUCAUGUCAAGACAUACGCCCAUCCUGCCUUCUCUCUCAGACCAACAAUGUUUAUACAGGGUGUAACUUGAGUUUUUGCAGAUAUAGACAGAGGCGAAAGUACAGAUUAAUCAAAGUUGGAAGCAUUCUAUGCACAUAGGUAAUUAAAGCAGAUUGAGGCUAGCAGGAAAUUGGCUGAGAGCUAGUCAGUUGCAUGAUUUCCCUUGAGACUGUAACAAUGAAUGAAUAUAUUAAAAUUAUAUUGCAUAAUUAAGAGUAAUGCAGAGUGUAUGGAAGUAUUUUUCCGUCAUGGUCACUGUCCCAGCUUGGCUGUUAUAUAUCCGGCCACUUGAACUUCAUACAAAAACUAAACACCUAAAAAUGCCUAUGUGCUUAGAAUGCUUGCCACUUGAAUAAUUUAAGUUUAAAAGCUUAAUUAUUAACCUUUACCUCUGGCAAUAUCCAUAAAAACUUGAAUUACACCUUGCAAUAUAAACUUACUGUAGGUCUGAGAAAGAGAGGGCAAGGAGAAGAAUUAAUGCAGAAGUAAACUGCAGAUGAUGUAGUUGUUAUGAGUGAAUUGGCAGAUGAGAUACAAAAAGUUUGCUGGAUGUUUUAGAUGGGUAUGAAAGAAAGAAUUAGGUUUAGCAGGGAGAAAACAAAAGUAAUUAAUAAUGUUAAUUCUAUAGAUGAAGACAAAUGUAUAAAGUGAGUGAGUGAGUGGUAUGGAAACAACUUGAGUCAAGCUAUUUUUUACUCAAUUCUCUAAUGUUUGUUUUAUUCUAUCAGAACAUGGUUUUCUAAGUGAAACGUUUAUUCAAGGAAUAAAGUACCUUGCCUGAACUUGUGUCCCUGCCACUUGCUUCACACAUGCAGAAUGUGAACAGAUCAGAGGAUUGAAAGUGAUGUGUAUGAAGAAUCGGAGAGAAUGAGUUCAAACAGGCACAAUAAGUACUAGUAAUGUGGAUGACUGGUGUGUGUGAUAAGGCAGAGAAUGAAAAGAUAACGAUGUACAUGUUCAUCAAGUCUUGAUGCCACAAUGCUGUCAUCAUUUCUUUUCGCAUCAAGUGGUUAAAGCUCGCAACUACCCUCCUUGGAAGGGAAGAUAUUCUGAUGUUGAAUCACCAAUUGUCAACCUUUUAUGCUCUAACAAGCACACUAUAGAGUGAGUGACCUCAGUCAGUUGUUCAGCUGAUAGAGAGAAUGGUUUGUUGUCUCGUGUGCCAGAGCUAUUUUGCUUUCUCCCAUACUACUUUAUAGUCAAUAUGCCUAUAAAGAAAUGAUGUUGGCUCAGAGGUGUCAGACUCUCUGAUUGUACUGUAAAAGUACAAGUACAAUCAGAGUCUUGACGCCUCUGAGCCAACAUCAUUUCUUUUUGCAUUAAAUGUAGAAUGCUGACAUCAGAAGGUUGAUGUUUUGGAACACUAAUUGGCAACCUUCUCCACUCCCAGGCAUAGAGGCAACAGUAUAAGUCACCUCAGUUUGCUGCUCAGCUGAUAUAGUGCAUGGCUGUCAUCUGGUGUGCUAGACAAAGACUAACUGUGCCUUACCUCCUCCUACACUAUCAACAGGCCCAAAGUGACUACAAGCAAGGAGAGACAUAAGAUGCUUAUAUUGUAUAAGGCUGGUCAUGACCUAUUUAUUCUCACUCAAACCUCAUAUUAGGUUAAGGACAACCAGUGAUUGUUGGGGCAUUUCAAGAAUGCUGGUGAAUUUACUGUACUCGCCCCACUUUCUAAGCCUGGUAGACCUCAUAAAACUACUUGACAACCCAUGCUCUUAUCUCCAGACAGGUUGCUAAAGAAUCAAGGCUGGUAGCAAAAAAAAAAAAAGGGGCUUACGAGGCCUGCCAGACUUGGAAAGUGUCUUCCUCACUCACCCAUUUGAAUGAAAGUUAAUAGAUGGUGGCCAGCCUUGUAUAAAGUAAGCAUCUCCUGUGUCUCUCCUUGCUUGUCAUUUUGGCCAUGUUAAUAGUAUGGGAGAAAGCAAAAUAGUUCUGGCACACAGACAACAAACCAUGCUCUCUCUGUAACUCACACUGUUGCCUGCUUGCUAGAGCAUAAAAGGUUGACAAUUAGUGACACAAAAGAAUCAGAAUAUCUUCCCGUCCAAGGAGGGUAGUUGCAAGCUUCAACCACUUGCAGCGAAAAGAAAUUAUGACAGUACAGUGGCAUAAAGACUUUAUGCACACACAUUGUGCACAUUGGUUCAUUGUUGUCUUUUCAUUCUCUGCUUUAUCACACACACACAUCAUCCACAUUGCUAGUACUUAUUGUGUCUGAGUCAACUUCUCUCCAAUUCUUCAUUCUAAAUUACUUUCACCCUCUGCAUGGCAGGGACUCAAGUUGAGACAAGAUGGUUUUGUAACUGGCCUUUAGGGAAUAAACUAUUUGAAUGAAACCAAGACAUUAUUAAUUAAGGAAUAAUAGAGAAAUGCAAAACAAUCUUAAUUAAAGACUGGAUUGGGUGCAAAGUAAUUUUAACAUAAAUGCACAGUACUAACUAGUAAAU